GGGAAUGUGGCUUAGUGGUAGAGUGCUCGCCUUACAUGCAUGAAGCCCUGGGUUCAAUUCCUCAGCACCA
rnacentral:tRNA from 1 species